GAUGAACGCUGGCGGCGUGCCUAAUACAUGCCAGUCGAGCGAACAGAUGAGGAGCUUGCUCCUCUGACGUUAGCGGCGGACGGGUGAGUAACACGUGGAUAACCUACCUAUAAGACUGGGAUAACUUCGGGAAACCGGAGCUAAUACCGGAUAAUAUAUUGAACCGCAUGGUUCAAUAGUGAAAGACGGUUUUGCUGUCACUUAUAGAUGUAUCCGCGCCGCAUUAGCUAGUUGGUAAGGUAACGGCUUACCAAGGCAACGAUGCGUAGCCGACCUGAGAGGGUGAUAGGCCACACGGGAAGUGAGACACGGACCAGACUCCUACGGGAGGGAGCAGUAGGGAAUCUUCCGCAAUGGGCGAAAGCCUGACGGAGCAACGCCGCGUGAGUGAUGAAGGUCUUCGGAUCGUAAAACUCUGUUAUUAGGGAAGAACAAAUGUGUAAGUAACUAUGCACGUCUUGACGGUACCUAAUCAGAAAGCCACGGCUAACUACGUG
rnacentral:rRNA from 1 species